UANCUGUUGGUCACAACGGGAAAUCAGACACCGCUUGGACUGGUGGAGGUUUCCUCUAAGGGUGAUUCAAAAUGCUGGCGACAGUGUAUAAUUAAUUAAGGCUGGGGCCGUCGUGGUCUGAAUAUAAGAUAAGAUUGAACUUCAUCUUAAAACCAUUUUCAUCCUUUCCCCACAGGUCUGUUUUUCUUCAAAAGUUGGCAGUAUCUUGAUAUCUUUUUCUUCAUGUGUUAAUGAGUAACGUAUUUGUACAAGAUCCAUAGCCGACUGCUCGCUAAAGAUUUUUUGGUUGUAGUCUUUCACAAUUUAGAUUUAUCUUCAACUGUAAUCACAACUGAACAUUCUUUUUCUCAAAAUUGCCUUAUUGGUAGCGUGAUAAUGUGGUUUUUCUAAACGCAUAA